GGUAGUCUCCGCACGGCAGAUUGACGCUCACUAGUUUACACAGGAGACAUAUUUACGUGUUUCAGCGCGCCUGUUUGUUGUUUUUUCCCACAAAGUGCCUUGGAAACAUUGUCUGACUUUGGCGGAGUUUAUUGUUAUGUUUGAAUGAAGGUCUCUGCAUCCAUUUGACCACGCCCUCACUUUAUGACAUCGUCAAUGAAACAGAUGGCGAUCAUUCCUGUUCAUCUGGGGGUGAUGGUGCUCAACCUUGCUAGAUGAAGCCCCGUGAUCCAGAUGGGAAGGAACGCAGCCCUUGGCUUAACAAAUCCUCCUUUGUUUCUGGGGUCGCGGGGGUGACUGGAGCCUAUCCCAGCUGCAUUCGGGCGGAAGGCGGGGUACACCCUGGACAAGUCGCCACCUCAUCGCAGGCCAUUCCUUUCAAUUGAACAAAUAACCGCUAAUAUGACAGGCGGUGAGUUA